rnacentral:rRNA from 1 species
AUUGAACGCUGGCGGCAUGCCUUACACAUGCAAGUCGAACGGUAACGGGUCCUUCGGGAUGCCGACGAGUGGCGAACGGGUGAGUAAUAUAUCGGAACGUGCCCAGUAGUGGGGGAUAACUGCUCGAAAGAGCAGCUAAUACCGCAUACGACCUGAGGGUGAAAGGGGGGGAUCGCAAGACCUCUCGCUAUUGGCGCGGCCGAUAUCAGAUUAGCUAGUUGGUGGGGUAAAGGCCUACCAAGGCAACGAUCUGUAGUUGGUCUGAGAGGACGACCAGCCACACUGGGACUGUGACACGGCCCAGACUCCUACGGGAGGCAGCAGUGGGGAAUUUUGGACAAUGGGCGCAAGCCUGAUCCAGCAAUGCCGCGUGCAGGAAGAAGGCCUUCGGGUUGUAAACUGCUUUUGUCAGGGAAGAAAUCUUCUGGGCUAAUACCCCGGGAGGAUGACGGUACCUGAAGAAUAAGCACCGGCUAACUACGUGCCAGCAGCCGCCGUAG